CGACGAGUGGCGAACGGGUGAGUAACGCAUCGGAACGUACCCAGUAGUGGGGGAUAGCCCGGCGAAAGCCGGAUUAAUACCGCAUACGACCUACGGGUGAAAGCGGGGGAUCGUAAGACCUCGCGCUAUUGGAGCGGCCGAUGUCAGAUUAGGUAGUUGGUGGGGUAAAGGCCUACCAAGCCUUCGAUCUGUAGCUGGUCUGAGAGGACGACCAGCCACACUGGGACUGAGACACGGCCCAG
rnacentral:rRNA from 1 species